rnacentral:ncRNA from 1 species
UGUCUUUGGGGAGGGGUGCAAUUCCCUACCGGCGGUAAAGUCCGCGAGCUUUGGCAUGAACCGGUGCAAUUCCGGUACCGACAGUAUAGUCUGGAUGAAAAAAGAC